rnacentral:ncRNA from 1 species
AGAUAAAAAUUUAUGAUUUAAGAAAUUUAUUUUAAGUUUAAUUUACAUGUAAAUUUUAGUAUUAAUUUUAUUAUAUUUAAAAAAUAUAAAAAUUAUUUGCAGUAAUUAAAAUUAAAUAUUUAAGAAAUUAAGAUUUAGUAAUACAAUAUUAAAUAACAAAUUUUGUGCCAGCAGUUGCGGUUAUACAAAAAUUUAAAUAAAUUUUAUUAGUAAAAAUAAAUAAUUUAAUUUAAAUUAAAAUUGAAAUUAUUAAGUGAAAUUUUAAUUUUAACAAAAUUUAUAUAAAAAUUAUGAAAUUUAAAAAUUUUAAUUAUAAACUAGGAUUAGAUACCCUAUUAUAAAAAAUUAAAUUUAAAUACUAAAAUAGUAAAUAUUUUUUAUUGAAACUUAAGUAAUUUGGCGGUAUUUUAGUUCAUUUAGAGGAAUCUGUUUAGUAAUUGAUAGUCCACGAAUAAUUGUAUUUAAUUUAAAAUUUUAUAUAUCGUUGUUAAAAAAAUAUUUUUAGAUAAAAAUAAUAUUUAAAAAUUUAUAAUAAAAAUUAAUUCAGAUCAAGAUGUAGAUAAUAAUUAAAUUUAAAAUGGAUUACAAUAUAUAAAUAUAAAUGAAUAAUAAUUUUGUAAUAAUUAUUGGAAAGUGGAUUUAAAUGUAAUUUUAAAUAAUUUUUUAAAAUGAUUAAAAAUUAAAAUAUGUACAUAUUGCCCGUCACUUUCAUUUAAAAAUUGGAAUAAGUCGUAACAAAGUAGGGGUACUGGAAAGUGUUCCUAGAAAGA